ACGUUUUUUUCAUAGAGAUUUAGAUUUAAGGUUAGAAGAAUUGUGGAAGUCGUGAGACUUCCCUUUUUUUCAUCUUAACGUUUACUAUCCUUCAUUGUUUGAAUGCACAAUAUGUUUUGUAAAAUAGGCAGAAUGGCUAUGAAGAAUAAGUAAACCUAAAAAGCCUUCUUCGUGAGAAGAGGCUUUUUU
rnacentral:sRNA from 1 species